rnacentral:tRNA from 1 species
GGUCCGUUGGUCAAGGGGUUAAGACACCGCCUUUUCACGGCGGUAACUCUGGUUCGAAUCCCGUACGUACUA